rnacentral:tRNA from 1 species
ACCUGGCUGGCUUAGCAGGUAGAGCACGCAACUCUCGAUUUCGGAGGUGUGAGUUCAAGUCCCAUGUUGGCUG